GACACUGAGGUGCGAAAGCGUGGGUAGCAAACAGGAUUAGAUACCCUGGUAGUCCACGCCGUAAACGAUGUCAACUAGCCGUUGGGUCCCUUGAGGACUUAGUGGCGCAGCUAACGCAAUAAGUUGACCGCCUGGGGAGUACGGCCGCAAGGUUAAAACUCAAAUGAAUUGACGGGGGCCCGCACAAGCGGUGGAGCAUGUGGUUUAAUUCGAUGCAACGCGAAGAACCUUACCUACCCUUGACAUCCAGAGGACUUUCCAGAGAUGGAUUGGUGCCUUCGGGAACUCUGAGACAGGUGCUGCAUGGCUGUCGUCAGCUCGUGUUGUGAAAUGUUGGGUUAAGUCCCGUAACGAGCGCAACCCCUAUCCUUAUUUGCCAGCGAGUCAUGUCGGGAACUCUAAGGAGACUGCCGGUGACAAACCGGAGGAAGGUGGGGACGACGUCAAGUCAUCAUGGCCCUUACGGGUAGGGCUACACACGUGCUACAAUGGCAAGUACAAAGGGUUGCAACACGGCGACGUGGAGCCAAUCCCAUAAAGCUUGCCUCAGUCCGGAUUGGAGUCUGCAACUCGACUCCAUGAAGUCGGAAUCGCUAGUAAUCGUGGAUCAGAAUGCCACGGUGAAUACGUUCCCGGGCCUUGUACACACCGCCCGUCACACCAUGGGAGUGGACUGCACCAGAAGUGGUUAGCC
rnacentral:rRNA from 1 species